GUAGCUUCAUACUACAUAAGUACAGUAUAGAUAGCUUCAUAGUACAAAAGUACAGUAUAGUUAGCUUCAUACUACAUAAGUACAGUAUACGUAGCUUCAUAGUACAUAAGUACAGUAUAGGUAGCUUCAUACUACAAAAGUACAGUAUAGUUAGCUUCAUACUACAUACGUACAGUAUAGGUAGCUUCAUAGUACAUAAGUACAGUAUAGGUAGCUUCAUAGUACAUAAGUACAGUAUAGGUAGAUUCAGAGUACAUAA